rnacentral:lncRNA from 1 species
UUUUUUAUUAUAUUAUUCUUUUAAUGUUUGUGUAGGUUGUAUAUACUAUUCGAUGGGGUUGGGACUCCAUCGGGGUGGGAUGUGACUUGAUUGGUCUUUUUUCUUUGAGUAGCCAUCUUAUUUGAUGACAUUUGCUUUCGUAUUUGCAUUAUUGGUUUGGCAUUGUUCCAUUUACUAUACUUCGAUGAAUUACAUGAGUUGCUAAUUUGAUAAGAGUUAUUAUUCCAAAUGCAUGCAGCGAAAAAGAUGAAAAAGGGGAAAGUUGUCGGGGAUCAAGUAGCUCAAAGUAGAAGUGCGAUGUAGUUAUUAAGGUUGGUUAAAUACUUUUGUAUGAAGUGUUGCAUUCGGGUUAUAAUUGUAGGCGUUGCUUCUACCGUGUUUGACUUUGAUUCGCGUUGAGAAUUCUAUGGUUAACGACCGUGGCCUGUGACUUUUGGUUCUGUAAUCAGUUGUAUGUAGGCUUGUUGAAUAUGUGAAUGUGUAAUUUUGUACGAGUUGUGGCUUAGUUUUAAGGACCAUGCGCGUGUGUGUGUGUGUGUUGAGGCAAAAGAGAUAACUUCAAUUAUAAAGGAAAUGAUAACAGUUUACAGAGAGACCAAAAAAGCAACAGAAAAAAGACCAGAAAAGCCGAGGUUGGUGAGUGUGACUCGCAGAUUUAUCCCUAUCUGCAUCCACUGCCUCUGGGCUAGCCUCCAUCUGUUGCCAUAAUCCUGUAACUGGCUAAUACAUGAGCUGGAUGAACCACUCCUGCGAAAAGAGAGUUUGGAGUUGUCCAAUACUAGGUUUGGGAACAAAAAGGAAUCAACAAAAUGGCCUUUACGCCAAUCUGCGACACAACAUUAGGGCAAUGAGAAUAAAUAUAAGCUGCAUUAAAUGGAUGAUGCAUAGCCCAUUUAAUAGCCAAAUGAACCUCCAUGUGGUAUAGGGUCUUGGAGCUUUCGUAAAAGCUAUGACAAAUGAUUUGUAUGCCAAAAAUCAAAGGUGAUGCCUUGGGAUUGAAUUGGACAGUGUGGCGGGUUCAAUCUCGAUUUCAAUUUGGACUUUAGCUUGCAAAUCACUAUUCUUAAGGUGUAUUCCAAUGAAAUGUGAUCUUUAUGAAACUACGAGGCAAAAAAGGCUUCAAUCUAAUUUAAAAUUUUGAUAUACUUCAUAUUGAAUAGCUAUGUAAUUAUUCCCUAUUAUUUGUAAUUUCAAAAAGUAGGCAUUUUAGUAAUAUAUAUAUAUAAGUUUAUUUAAAUUAUAUCCUAUGAAAUUGCUACUAUCUAAUUCUAUAUCCAAUUCCUAUGCAAGAAUGAAAUGUUUGUUGUAUAAUGUGCUACUGUUCAAGCUAGAAUUGUGUACAAAUUCAAACUAUCAAACUCAGUUUGUGAUCAGUUUAAUUGAAGCUUGACUAAGAUCGAUUUGAAAGACAAGCAAGCCAAGUAAACUCAUUUUUGAAGAUCAUUAAGUUUGGAAUACAACCACAAUUCAUUUAUUGCCCUAAGAUGUCUCCAUAUCACUUAUGGGACUUUUAAUUGUCCCAAAAAAUUGGGCAAGUCAUAGUCAUAGUCCAAUAUCAAAUAGUAAUUUACAGUCUCCUCUCUCUUGCAAAGCGUCUCCCGUCUCCCCUCUUCGAGUUUCGCCUGUUAGUGGCGGAAGGGGUAACCCCUUCUCCUCCCCCGCUCUCCAUCUGAUAUAUCUUUUGCCUCUGAUCUCUCUUUCUUUUUCCGCUAUUCCCCUUUCGCCAUAGUUACCUUGUGACUAUUGUCUACCGGACACGAUGCCGUCAAAGUUAGCUCUUAAGGUACAACGAAGACAAAUCUUGAUAUCCAUUUGAUGGUUGUGGACUAUAUGGAUCUCAAGUUUGGAAUUUUCUUUUCUCUUUUUCUUUUUCGUUUAUUUUCCUAGUAGAAUUCGCCAUAGUUACCUUGUGACUAUUGUCUACCGGACACGAUGCCGUCAAAGUUAGCUCUUAAGGUACAACGAAGACAAAUCUUGAUAUCCAUUUGAUGGUUGUGGACUAUAUGGAUCUCAAGUUUGGAAUUUUCUUUUCUCUUUUUCUUUUUCGUUUAUUUUCCUAGUAGAAUAAAUCUCCUAUGUGGGAAUUGCUUAUUCUCUUUUUCAGAGUUUAUUUUCCUCUUUUGUCUCGAUUGUAUUUGGCAGCUCGAUUUCUUUUAAGUUAAAGUAUGGGGUGUGACUCGUAGAGCCUUGAGCUCUCGUAGAGUCUGUCAUGGGAGACCUUCCACCACCCUCUUUGAUACAUUUUUCCUCUUUUAAAGGAAAUUUUUAUAUGCUGUAAUGGUUCUUCCUACCAUUAAUAAAAAAAUUAUAUCGUUUGAUAAAAAAAUAAAUAUCAAAUAGUAAUUUUACAUGUAAACGAAUUACACUAGUUAUUGAAAUCCCUAUGAACAUGGUAUAAUUAUACUAGCUAUUGAAAUCUCCAACCCAACAUAUAAUUACAAUAGCAUACUUUUUACAAAAUUUUUAUUAUAACUUAAUGCAUACAAGAAAGUAAUUUUUCUUUUUAACUUUUUUCCUUUUUUUUCACUUUCAUUUUCUAUAAUACUCCAAUUUUUACUCUAAUCAAACAUAUUUUUAUCACUGAAUACCUACUAGAGUCAGAGAAGAGAAAUUCAAAAGCAAACCCAAAAAAUGAGGAGCUUUUACACUUGUACACCCUUUGGAACACAAGGGUUAGCUAUAUCCUCAGCAUUUAGUAAUUUGAAUAUUUUUGUUAUCUGAUGAAUAUACGAAAAAUAAUAAUAUAUAAAUAAAAAAAUUAUAUAAACUUUUUAUACAAAAUAAUGUGGUAGAAUAUAGACCUCUUAAUUUCUAAUAAAACAUCUAGAUAAAUUUUAUUUACCAAAAUAAUCUUGCUACAUCAUAUUCUUAUGGUGUUUAUAGAUUUGUUUUUGUAAGAAUGUCAUUUUUCAUGUAGGAACGUUACCGUUUGUUAAUCUUCAACUAUUUAGAUCCUUAUUUUCUAAUGAAUAUUCGAAAAGAAAUAAUAUACAAAUAAAAAAUCUAUACAAUUUUUUUUUGUGCAGAACAACGUACGUGGUAGAAUAUGAGCAUUUUAGUUUUCAGCAAAAUACCCAUCAAACUAACUUUUAUUUACCAAAAUACAAUUACUAUGUACAUCAUUCUUGUGUGUUUUAUGUAUAAAUUUUCUGUUAGAAUAUGAUUUCUCAUAUACGAACGUUACCCUUCAAAGUUUGUUGAUUCUCAAUCCUUUUUUCUAUGAAUAUGUCAAGAGUAAUGAUAUACAAAUAAAAGAUUUACACGAAAUUUUUAUAUAGAUCGAAUGAUGUGGCAGUUGAAUGAGCUAUUUAAUUUUCAACAAAACACUCGAUCUAGAUAACUAUUAUUUACUUAAAUGCCAUUAAUAUCACAUCAUUCUUAUAGUGUUUUAUGUAAAAAUUUAGGAUAAAUUUCACUAACCUUUCUUGAGAUUUGACAAAAGUUUAGGACCUCCCAUUAGUUUGUAAAAUUACAAAAACUCUUCUGUUUUUGAAAAUAAUACACAAAUUUAUGUUUCUGUUAAAGUGAAACCAAACAGCAUUAAUACGCAAAGGGUAUAUUUCACUAACUUCUCCUAAAAUUUGAUUAAAUUACACGAACCUCCCCUGUAGUUUAUAAAUCUAAACCUAUAUUAAUUUCAAAAAAGAGAGGGUGUCUGUGUAAAUGAGACCAAGUUGUUAAUUGACAAAGAUGAUCACAACACUGCACAACUACUCUCUCUCUCUCUCUCUCUCUCUGUGUGUGUAGACACCAACAAAAAUUAUUGACAUCUGAUUGUAGAUGCAGAUGAUGAUACGAAUAUUUUUGAAAUUUAAAGACCUAGCUGUGACUUCCAAAAACUGAAUCAAUAAAGACUCAUGCUUCAAAACAAGUGUGUUUCCCAAGAAGAUAAAAACCCACGUUUGGAAAAUGAAAAUUAAGUUAUUCCAAAGAAAAUAAAUAAUAGAAUUUAAGAAAAUCCCUAGUUUUUUUGUUAGCUAAUUUGGUUAGUAAAUAUAAACAUAUAUUAGUUUCAAAAAGAGGGGAUGUCAGUGUAAUUUUACAAAUUAUAGGGCAGGUCCAUAUAAUUUGAUCUAACCUCAGGCGAGCUUGGCGAAUUUUUUCUUUUUGUAUAUCAUAGUCUCAUUUUAACCAAAGGAGAAAUUUGUAUAUUAUUUUUAAAAGAAAGAGAGUUUUUUAUAAUUUUACAAAUCUUAGAGGUGGUUAGUGAAAAUGACCCCAAAUUUUUCUAUUUUGUUGAUACUCAUUUAUUCAUAGAGUAAUGUUAAGACGGACUUGCCUACAUGGCGUGCCUAUGUCCACCUAUUUGGGAGUGAACGUCACUUAUUUUUGUUUUUUAUUUUUUAUUUUUUUUAAAUGGCGUCCAGCGUGUCACGUAAACAAGUCCAUGGUAAUACCAUAAGCUCGAUCCCGUCUUAACAUUACUCUUAUUCGUAUCCUUAUUUUCUCUCCGGAAAAUGCUACUCCAACGAACACACUUUACGCAUUUCUUCUACGCAAUCACGUAGCUUCACAGCCUGGCAAGUACGAACUGCCACGUCUCACACACAACACGUCAGAAACAAAAGCUCCAAAAAACUUCAUGAAUUGUCUCCCUCCACACUCCCCCUCUCUCUCCGUUCACUUUUUCUUCUCUCUACAAACCCCAGUGCCCCCCCUGAAAAGCCUACUCCAAGGAGAACAUCUUAGAAAUCAAGUUAAAUUAUUGCAGCCUUUAUUAUAAUCGAUUUAAGAGUAUUCUUAGUAUAAAUAUAAUUAAUUGAUAUUUUUUUAAGAACGGAUUAGUGGUAUGAUUACCUAAUUCUCGCAAUGGAGUUAUUUACUUUUCAUAUAAGAGAAAUUCUUUGCGAAAUUGUAUAACAUCUAUAAUCUAUUUAUUUUUGCUUUCUUUCAUUAUUCAAAAGAUGAAUUACAGAAUGAAUUGAAUCUGAGUUCCUCCAUAUUUUUCAUUCUUCAAAUUCUUCAUUGUAUCAAAGCAGGUUUAAUCUUGCCUCUUCAUC